UCUCUCUGCUCUCUCUCUUCGAUGAAGGAAUACGAAAUAUAGUUCUCUCUACUCUCUCUCUUCGAUGAAGGAAUACGAAGCAUCAGAAGCUGCCAUAUGAGAGACUAAAUGAGAGAGAAACCCUGUGUUAUGUAUUAGAACAAGGCACGUUAAAGAAGAAACAAAACAACCAUAAUCAGACAUAUCAGACUUCUUAUUGACAAAAAUGUUCGAAUUUCUUUGCACAAAAGGAUUCUGUUUUGUAUAACUUCGUUUGGAUCUUACAUCUUAUGAGUUACGAGAGUUCGUUUGGUUUAGUUUGUGUUUGAUUUCUAAACGUCCAAACACAAAUUCAAAAAAAUACGCGGAGAAAUUGCGGGUGGUAAUCAACAAUCCGGAAGCCUAAAAGUCGACGAGUCUGACUUACCAUUGAAAAAAUUGGAUAAAUUUAAUGAUUAUCUGCAAGAACUUCAGAAAGAGAAGUUUGAUUUGCAGCAGCUAAAAAUUUGUAUCAUAGCAACUUAUUAGUAAUGUUGAAUGCCAACUUUGUAGCAGCCAAUGAUUUUGUAGCAGCAUAUUUCAAAUCCAAUCGUGUAUCUACUCACUAUAUCUCUCUCAAAUCCAACCAUGUUUCCACAGGCCUCCACCACCGACGCCACAGAGCCUCCGGCCGCCGCUAUGAAUUCCGACAACAGGCUUUCGGUGAAGAAGAGAGAGGCUCCGAAGCAGAAGAAAGCGCCGGUGAAGAAAGCGAAGGAGGCGAAGGAUCCGAACAAAGUGAAACGGCCUACGAGUGCGUUCUUCGUGUUCAUUAAUUAUAAACUUUUCGUAUGAGGCCUGCAAGAGAAGGUGAUAUACCUGUUAGGGUUAAAAAUUCAUAUAACCCUAAUGCUCCUGGUACCUUAAUAACCAAAUCAAGAGAUAUGAGUAAGGCAGUACUAACUAGCAUUGUUUGAAACGUAAUGUAACCAUGUUAGACAUCGUUAGCACUCGCAUGCUCGGUCAAUGUGGAUUUCUUGCCAAGGUUUUUUCAAUAUUCGAGGAUUUGGGUAUAUCGGUGGAUGUUGUCGCUACGAGUGAAGUUAGCAUUUCGUUAACUUUAGAUCCUUCGAAGCUUUGGAGCAGGGAGUUGAUUCAGCAGGCAAGCGAACUUGAUCAUGUUGUAGAAGAGCUUGAAAAAAUCGCUAAAGUGAAUCUUCUUCAACACAGAUCGAUUAUUUCGCUGAUCGGGAAUGUUCAGAGGUCAUCACUUGUAUUAGAGAAGGCGUUCGAUGUUCUUCGUGAGAAUGGAGUGAAUGUUUAGAUGAUAUCGCAAGGAGCAUCAAAGGUGAAUAUAUCACUUAUAGUAAAUGAUGAUGAAGCGGAAAGAUGUGUGAGAGCUCUGCAUUCGGCAUAGAUUGAGAUGCCUAGAUUGAGAUGGACUCCAAAACUUCAUCACGCGUUUGUUCGUGUUGUGAAACGACUCGGUGGUCAAGAAAGAGCAACCCCUUUGAAGGAGUUGGAUGAGAUGAACAAACGUUUGAAGGAGAUGGAGGAAGAAGCUGCCGCUCUUCGCGAGAUGCAAGCCAAAGUUGAGAAAGAAAUGGGUGUUCAAGCUCUACUUACUUUUUCUCCAUUAUUUUUAUUUUUAUUGUUAUCUGAUCUGUGUGAUUUGCACUAAGUUUGCAGAUGGUGGUCAUAACGAUGGAGAUGUCGAUGAGUAUAUUUUUAUGGAAGCUUUUAUCUGACCCGGAGGCCUAUCAACAAUUCUUGCUAUCAAUUGAUCCUGUGAGAACUCAGAACAAUUUUUUGAAGAUAGUUGGAGUUGGUUUCACAGCAAGAGCUGAAUUCCAAGGGCGGCUUUUGUUUCUAAAAUUGAGUUACAGUCAUGAGGUUCAAUUGACCAUUCCUCUUGUUGUUAAAGUAUUUUGUUUCAAACCAAAUAUUGUGUGCUUCACUGGAAUAGACAACCAAAGGGUGCACCAGUUUGCUGCUGGCGUUCGUAGCUGUAAGCCCCCUGAAGUUUAUAAAGGCAAAGGUAUCAUGUAUGUUGACCAAGUCAUAAAGAAGAAAUAAGGAAAGAAAUCAAAGUAGGUUGCUGUUUUAAUUAAUCAUACUGUAAUGUUCUUGGACCAAUUAUUGAAUAAUGAUGAUUUGAUCCAGUAAAAUCAUACAAUCAUUACUUGCCCCUAGCUUGGUAAGUGUUGUUGAUUUUGUUUUAAUCAGUUGUUAAUAGAAAUCGAUUAUUAUUGUGCAGGCACACAUGUGCAGCUAGUACCAAUUUGUGCUCUAAAACCCUGGUGAACUAGAAUUAUUUUCUGUAUGUCGAUAUUAAAUCUUUCUUAAAAUUCAAGUUAAUUUUUGUCUUAAAAUUCAAGAAUAUCAGAAACCGAUUAUCACCUCAUUUUGGGACAUUCUUGCAUUUGCAUUGCUCUGUGUCAUCUGCUAUAUGUGGACACCAUCAUAGAGUUCUCAAAGGUAAAGUAGAAUUAUUUUCUGUAUGUCGAUAAACGUAGCGAGUUAUCUGAAUCAGGUCAACUAGGGUUGUAUUGCCAAACAGUAACAUAUAGAGUAAAAGGUAGCUAAAUAUGACAUUGGUUGAAUUUGUUAAACAGGUCGAAAGUCAUUAAGAUGUGUUCAAAUGCUUUGAAACAUAUAUGCAUAUUCAUAAGAGAAAGGUGAAGAUUCUGAUGAAGAAACCAAAGCACUUAACAGUGGAUCCCCCAAAGGUGACAUCAGCUAGAGAAAAACGGUCAUAGAGGGUUAACAGAGAAUGUGGAUUACCAUGCUUUGAUUGGCUUGAGACGCGGUUGUUCACGAUCCGAGUUGGAGCGAGCGCAUUUGUUGAUUAUGCUACGUCACAAACCGGAUAAAUCGAUAACCUUCAUUGAUCGGUGCGAACUCACUGGUGAAGUUGAUGUGCAUUCGAUUAGAGAGCGGGCAAAGAUGUCUGGUAUAUUGUUAUACAGAUUGAUUCAAAGAGGUUACACCAAUGUUUUGCGCAUGAUUCCAGAGGAUGAAGUUGCUGAAAAAGAGAGGAAGAAAGCUUCUGCAGCUUUACAACAAGAAAUGCAGUUGCUACAUCAAGAGCACAUUAAAACCGUGACCAAAAUGGACGAUCAGGAUUGCGAAAACAAGCUGAAGAUUGUUUUUAAUUCCCUACGGGAUUGACAGUAAAGAAGCUGAAGAUGUUUUGGCGCAAGCUGAAGAUUGUUUUUAAUUCCCAUUUUAUUAAAUCGUGUGACUGAUUUCAUACAUGUUGAUCGUGUGAUUGAUUUUAUCACAGGAUAUGAUAAAGCAAUUCGAGAAUGAUGGAUUCAAUUGACGAGCUACUCAAGAACACAUUCGAGGUUUGUGCUGCUGGAUCUGCUGUUUAUGUUUCAAGAUUGACCCACUUUUUGAAUCGGAAGUCAACAUUUAAGUUGUAAUCCAGUCUGAAGUUUACUUUAGUAUUUGUUGUGAAGGCAACUUGGAUUUUAGUAAUCUAAAUUAUUAUUAUGUCAAUUUAACCAGGGCAGUGGUUGCCCAGGCACACAUAUUCGUUAUAGAUUCACACUGAUUAUAAUAAUAUAAGCCAACUGGGGAAAUGUA